rnacentral:tRNA from 1 species
GCAGGGAUGGUGUAACUGGCAACACUCUGGUCUCCAAAACCAGCAUUCUGAGUUCAAAUCUCAGUCCCUGUGCCA